rnacentral:precursor_RNA from 7 species
GGCUGCUCAACCCUUAUCCAUGGUAUCUGCUCUUUCCCUCUGCCACUCCACCGCUGGGAGCUUGUGUCUGUGGAGUGACUGUAGGGAGGAUGCAGAUGCUAAGGGGAACGACUGGACCAACAG